rnacentral:rRNA from 1 species
GACGAACGCUGGCGGCGUGCUUAACACAUGCCAGUCGAACGGAAAGGCCCUGCUUUUGUGGGGUACUCGAGUGGCGAACGGGUGAGUAACACGUGAGUAACCUGCCCUUGACUUUGGGAUAACUUCAGGAAACUGGGGCUAAUACCGGAUAGGAGCUCCUGCUGCAUGGUGGGGGUUGGAAAGUUUCGGCGGUUGGGGAUGGACUCGCGGCUUAUCAGCUUGUUGGUGGGGUAGUGGCUUACCAAGGCUUUGACGGGUAGCCGGCCUGAGAGGGUGACCGGCCACAUUGGGACUGAGAUACGGCCCAGACUCCUACGGGAGGCAGCAGUGGGGAAUAUUGCACAAUGGGCGGAAGCCUGAUGCAGCAACGCCGCGUGCGGGAUGACGGCCUUCGGGCUGUAAACCGCUUUCGCCUGUGACGAAGCGUGAGUGACGGUAAUGGGUAAAGAAGCACCGGCUAACUACGUG